rnacentral:lncRNA from 1 species
UAAAAUAGAUUUAUCUCCCUUUUCCAUUAAGGCAGCCGUUGUAACAGCCAUUUUUGAUGGCGAUGGUGGACUUUCUGAAGCGAAGAGAAUAGAUCUGAAGCGAAGAGGGAGUAGGCGAACGGAUCUGGCCAUGGCUACAGAUUGAGAUUUUGGAAAUUUGAAGCAGAGUCGCUGGAGAAGAUUUGCGGGUCAGGUUUUUGUUCGUCUUCAUUUUUAAUUUUAAUACAAUGUAUACAAUAUUUUGUUUUGGCCGGGAAUGCCAUCUCCGACGAACUUUCUUCUCUUCUUUGCUAUUGGGUCACAUACAAUGAUACAAAUAUAUUAUAUUGUACACUGAAAUACAUUUUAAAUACUUUAUCUUUUCAUGAAUUUAUGUAUUCCAAAGGUUUUUUUUAAUACAAUCAAAU